rnacentral:rRNA from 1 species
UGGGGAAUAUUGGACAAUGGGGGAAACCCUGAUCCAGCCAUGCCGCGUGAGUGAUGAAGGCCUUAGGGUUGUAAAGCUCUUUCAGCGGGGAAGAUGAUGACUGUACCCGCAGAAGAAGCCCCGGCUAACUCCGUGCCAGCAGCCGCGGUAAUACGGAGGGGGCUAGCGUUGUUCGGAAUUACUGGGCGUAAAGCGCGCGUAGGCGGUCAGCACAGUCAGGCGUGAAAGCCCCGGGCUUAACCCGGGAAUUGCGCUUGAUACUGGUUGACUGGAGUUCGGAAGAGGAGAGUGGAAUUCCCAGUGUAGAGGUGAAAUUCGUAGAUAUUGGGAAGAACACCAGUGGCGAAGGCGGCUCUCUGGUCCGAUACUGACGCUGAGGCGCGAAAGCGUGGGGAGCAAACAGG